ACAGGUUUGAAGACUCUGAGCCCCUUAAUGACCCUACAGAUCUGGUACCUGCACAUGUUGGCUCCAGAUUUGAAGAUUCUGAUGCUCAUCUACUAGGGAAUAUAAAUCUACCAGGUUGCCACACAGAAUCCCACUAAGUCCAUGUAGCAGCUGUUGCUAGUCCACUUCUCAGUCAUCUUGCCAAGAAGACUGCAGACAAGGAUGGGAGCCAAUAUCUCACCCUGGCCAUCAGAAGGUUGUUCUUACACAACAAGGGCAAAAAUGAACAUGUGAACAGUGGUUAAUAUUACCAGUUUGAUAAGAUCUAGAAUCACUAUGGGAACAAACUCUGGACAUGUCUGUGAGGACAUUUCUAGAUUUGAUUCACUGAGAUGAAGUGUGACCAGUUGUCUCAUAGUCCCAACACCCUGACUUCCCUGCCACAAUGGACUGGGUACUCAUGAAAUAUCAGCUGAAAUAAACUCUUCCUUUAUUAA